ACGGCGUAGUCGAUGAGGGUCUUGCCGCUCAGGCUGGUGGCGAUGCCCGUCAAGGCGGCGACGGCGUUGUGCCCGUCGAUGCCGUU
rnacentral:tRNA from 1 species